CUAUAGUUUCAUUGAAAAUAGAAAUAAUAUCAUUAGUCUUCUUAUUUUUAAUAAGCCAUAACUUUUGUUUUAUUCGAUAAACUCAAUUCAACGCUCCGUGAGCUAUCUGACAAUUGUCUUUUUCUUUCAAAUGAUGAUAAGUACUAUUGUCAUUUUCUUAUAAUUUAUACUUGACUUAUACGCAUAAUAUGACGACGUCAUAUUUGUUCUAGUUGUCUCACAGUUAUUCUUUAGCUCAGUUUCUACUUCUUUCUUGGUCUAUGAAUCAUUUUAUUUUGCUCAAAGUGAUUCAAAUUUAUAUUUUAUCAUUUCAUAGAGUUCCUCAUAAUUUUUGGGAUAAUAAUAUAUCACCCUUAUAUUUUUAUCUUAACUCUAUGAGCUAAAUCAUUCAGUGUCUAAAUCAAUUCGUAUCGGUUUUAAAAAAAUAUAUAUCUUCUCAAAAUAUAAUUAGAAAAUAUCUCACCAUCCUUAUCCCUCCAUCCACCUCAUCCUCGACUCACUCUCAUUUCUCUCUUCCUCACUAUUUCUUUUUCUUCCUUCACGUUUUCUUUCUUUCUUCAGCAGACCCAUUUCUGCUCUUUCUUCCUUUCUUCUCCUUUUCUUCUUCUUUUCUUUCUUGGUUACCUACUUUAUCUCCUUCUUUUAUUUGCUGCAACAACUCCCCACCGUUCCUCUUUCUCUUUUGAUCAGCAUCUCCACAUCCUUUUCUUCUCCAUGGACAACCAGUCCAUGAGCCACCACCUCUACUCUCCCUCUUGCAACCGCUGAUCACACCAUCACUAUCACCAUGAUUCUUCUCCUUUCUAACUUGCAGCAACAAACAUGGCACCACCACCAAUAUGAAAGCCACACACACCCCUUCUCAUCACAUAUUUGCUCCAUCUUCUAACCACCACCGUUCCUUGCUCUCCAUGGAGCCUAACAAUCCACCAUCUUUGUUCUCCUUCUUCUGGUUUUGAAUGGAGACCCCCAUGAAAGGACCCAAGCACCACCACCGUGAGCUCCACCACGCAGAGGACGCCACCGGCACAUCAUCUUCUCAUUUUCCUUGGGUAUGAAUAACGGAAGCGCUUGACGAUGAAGCCAAAGAACAGACGGAAGUGAGCCAACACGGGAAAGCAAAGAUAUGACUGGAUUUGAUUGGAGUCGCAACUUAGUAAGGAAAGCGCCUAAGAUGUCGAUGGCCGACUGGUUCUCGGUGGUCUCUCCCUCGGGGGGGGGGGGGAUCAGAUAUGAGCUGCAGGAUCGGGAUGCCCCACCGCUUGGGUGAUCGAUGUUGCUGGUCACCGGGCGACGUAUCGGGGAAGGGUCAUGGAGGACCGGACUGACGAGCGUGGACGACGACGAAAGGAGGUGAUGUGAGCAGAUGCUACUCCACUUGGAAGAUCUAUAGAAGACUCGAAGAAUAGAGUCGGGUGUAGGGCUAGAGCCUUUGGGUAGAAAAGCUUACCGUUAUUGAUUUAAGCUUGCAGGAUCAUUUUAUGAUUUGUAUUUAAGGUUUCGGGUAGGUUCCGGUGCAUUGCUUUCCUAUGGUUACUCAGUGUGGAAAUCAUAGGGAGUAUAUCGGAUUUAUGGAGUCAUUGCAUAGUGAGUCCGUUGUUGGAUCUUAGUUUAUUUGUCAUGUACUCUAUGCUGUGCCUUGAUCGAGGCCAGAUGUAAAUUAUUUACGGUUGGGAGUAUGCAUUACAUAUUUUAGAAACACUUCGAAAAGGAAAAAAAAAUAAAUACUCACAUUUAUAAAUCCCUUUUGGAAAA